rnacentral:rRNA from 1 species
AUGACGUGGCUCCGCGCCGCUACGGGGGUGGCCCGCCACGCCGCGCGGCGGGCGGUCCUGGCCCGCGCCACCAGCGCCACCCCGGGCGCCCGAUCCGCGGGGUUCCACACCACGGCGCUCCGCCGCAGGGCCGCGGCGCCGGCCCCGCGGGCCGUCCCGCUUUCCAGGCUCACCGACAGCUUCCUCGACGGCACCAGCAGCGUCUACCUCGAGGAGCUGCAGCGCGCGUGGGAGGCGGACCCGUCCUCCGUCGACGAGUCGUGGGACAACUUCUUCCGCAACUUCCUCGGCCAGGCCGCGGGCUCCCCCGCCACCGGCCUCUCCGGCCAGACCAUCCAGGAGAGCAUGCAGCUGCUCCUCCUCGUGCGCGCCUACCAGGUCAACGGCCACAUGAAGGCGGCGCUCGACCCGCUGGGGCUCGACGACCGCGCCGUGCCCGAGGACCUCGACCUCGCCCUCUACGGCUUCACGGAGGCCGACCUCGACCGCGAGUUCUUCCUCGGGGUCUGGAUGAUGGCCGGCUUCCUCUCCGAGAACCGGCCCGUGCUCACCCUCCGCGAGAUCCUCGGCAAGCUCGAGCGCGCCUACUGCGGGCCCAUCGGCUUCGAGUACAUGCACAUCCCCGACCGCGACAAGUGCAACUGGCUCCGCGAGAAGAUCGAGACCGUCGCGCCCAGGGAGUACCCCAAGGACCGCCGCCUCGUCAUGCUCGACAGGCUCAUCUGGAGCACCCAGUUCGAGAACUUCCUCGCCACCAAGUGGGCCACCGCCAAGCGGUUCGGCCUCGAGGGCGGCGAGACGCUCAUCCCCGGCAUGAAGGAGAUGUUCGACAGGUCCGCCGAUCUCGGCGUCGAGAACAUUGUCAUUGGCAUGCCCCACAGGGGGAGGCUCAAUGUGCUGGGGAACGUCGUGCGCAAGCCCUUGUCUCAGAUAUUCAGUGAGUUUGCUGGCGGGACCAGGCCUGUCGAAGGCGAGGAUGGGCUCUACACUGGAACCGGUGAUGUCAAGUACCAUCUGGGUACCUCCUACGACCGGCCCACCCGUGGUGGCAAGAGGAUCCACUUGUCGUUGGUCGCCAAUCCCAGUCAUCUGGAGGCCGUCGAUCCUGUUGUCAUUGGCAAGACGCGGGCAAAGCAGUUCUACUCCAAUGAUGAUGACAGGACAAAGAACAUGGGCAUUCUUAUUCAUGGAGAUGGCAGCUUUGCUGGGCAGGGCGUGGUGUAUGAGACGCUCCAUCUAAGUGCCCUUCCAAACUACACAACUGGAGGAACCAUUCACAUUGUUGUCAACAAUCAAGUUGCCUUCACAACUGAUCCAAGAGCCGGCAGGUCUUCCCAGUACUGCACGGAUGUUGCCAAGGCCGUGAAUGUCCCUAUAUUCCAUGUUAAUGGUGAUGAUCUGGAGGCUGUUGUACGUGUCUGCGAACUUGCAGCUGAGUGGCGCCAGACUUUCCAUUCUGAUGUGGUGGUCGACCUGAUCUGCUACCGUCGUUUUGGACACAAUGAAAUUGAUGAGCCAUCCUUCACACAGCCAAAGAUGUAUCAGGUCAUUAAGAACCAUCCCAGUUCAUUGAAGCUUUAUGAACAGAAACUGCUUGAAACAGGUGAAGUCACUAAAGAAGAUGUUCAGAGGAUCCACGACAAAGUGAACCGAAUCCUGAAUGAAGAGUUUGCUAAAAGCAAAGAUUAUGUUCCCAACAAGAGGGAUUGGCUCUCGGCUUACUGGACUGGCUUUAAGUCACCUGAGCAAAUUUCACGUGUUCGCAACACCGGGGUUAAGCCGGAGGUACUGAAACGUGUUGGGCAAGCAAUUACUACUCUGCCUGAAAGCUUCAAGCCCCACAGAGCAGUGAAGAAGAUUUUUGAGCAGCGCGCUGCAAUGAUCGAGAGUGGUGAAGGUAUUGAUUGGGCUGUUGCCGAAGCCCUUGCCUUUGCAGCACUCAUAGUUGAAGGCAACCAUGUUAGGCUGAGUGGACAGGAUGUGGAAAGGGGAACUUUUAGCCACCGGCAUUCAGUUGUGCAUGACCAGGAAACUGGGGCGAAAUACUGCCCGCUCGAUCAUGUUGUGAUGAAUCAGAAUGAGGAGCUGUUUACUGUUAGCAACAGUUCACUUUCUGAAUUCGCUGUUCUUGGGUUUGAAUUGGGCUACUCCAUGGAGAACCCGAAUUCGCUAGUACUCUGGGAAGCUCAGUUUGGUGACUUCUCCAAUGGUGCACAAGUGAUGUUUGACCAGUUUCUGAGUAGUGGAGAGGCAAAAUGGCUGCGCCAAACUGGCCUUGUUGUUCUACUGCCUCAUGGUUAUGAUGGCCAAGGUCCGGAACACUCCAGCUCCCGUUUGGAGCGCUUCCUUCAGAUGAGUGAUGACAAUCCUUUUGUCAUACCUGAAAUGGACCCAACUCUUCGCAAGCAGAUACAGGAGUGUAACUGGCAGGUUGUGAAUGUGACAACCCCUGCAAACUAUUUCCAUGUGCUGCGUCGUCAGAUACAUAGGGAUUUCCGGAAACCGCUGAUUGUGACGGCCCCCAAGAACCUUCUUCGGCAUAAGGAGUGUAAAUCCAACCUCUCUGAGUUUGAUGAUGUUGAAGGGCACCCAGGAUUUGAUAAGCAAGGAACACGUUUCAAGCGGCUGAUAAAGGACCGUAACGAUCACAAGGAAGUCGAGGAGGGUAUCAACCGCCUUGUAUUAUGUUCUGGAAAGGUGUAUUAUGAACUUGAUGAUGAGCGGAAAAAGUCUGAGCGCAGUGAUGUUGCUAUUUGCAGGGUUGAGCAACUUUCCCCAUUCCCGUACGACCUUAUCCAGAGAGAGCUAAAGAGAUAUCCAAAUGCGGAGAUCGUGUGGUGCCAAGAGGAGCCAAUGAACAUGGGCGCAUACAGCUACAUCUCACCCCGCCUCUACUCAGCCAUGAAGACCCUCGGGCGGGGCACUUUUGAGGACAUCAAGUACGUGGGCAGGGCGCCUUCGGCCGCCACAGCCACCGGCUUCUUGACAGUCCAUGUGCAGGAGCAGUCGGAGCUGGUGAAGAAGGCAUUGCAACCGGAGCCGAUCAAGUUCCCCUGA